CGGGGCGGGGCGGGGAGGAGCCAGUAGGGCCUGAAAAGGCGUCCGUGCUCUUGGGAGCGACCUCCAGGCGGACAGCGACGGCCGCCGCGCGAUCACGGGCGCUAUGGGUCUGUUCUCGGAGCUGAAGUUGGCUGUGCCCUGGGGCCACAUCGCCGCCAAAGCCUGGGGCUCCCAGAAGGGCUCCCCCAUUCUCUGCCUGCACGGCUGGCUGGACAAUGCCAACUCCUUCGACAGACUCAUCCCUCUCCUCCCAAGAGACUUUUACUACGUGGCCAUGGAUUUCGGGGGCCACGGGCUCUCGUCCCACUACAGCCCAGGCCUUCCCUAUUACUAUCAGAACUUCGUGGGUGAGAUCCGGAGAGUCUCGGCAGCCUUGAAGUGGGAUCGCUUCUCCAUCAUGGGCCACAGUUUUGGUGGCACUGUGGGUGGAAUGUUUUCCUGUAUGUUCCCCGAGAUGGUGGAUAAGCUUAUCUUGCUGGACUCAUCCCCUUUUGCGCUGGACUCUAAUCCUCUUCCCAGGGUGAGUAGGAUGGAAAGGGGUACACCCGGGGCAAGCUGGAAACCCCUGAGCGGCACCCCGCCAGUCUGCACGCCACCAUUCGGAGUGACAGCGAGAGUUAGCCAGGAGCUGGAGAACCUGCUGACCUACAAGCGGAAGGCGAUAGAGCACACGCUGCUGGUGGAGCAGGCCGCCGGGGAGCCCCGCGCGCUCCGCCCCCAGGAGAUGCUGCAGAGGCUCCUGAAGAAUAACAGCCACGUCGGCGAGGAGUGCGGGGAGCUGCUGCUGCAGCGGGGAGCCACCCAGGUGCCCGCAGCCAGAGCACACCUUCGAUUUCAUCAGCAAGGAGCUGUGUGCACACGCCAUCAAGAAGCUGCAGGCCCACACGCUGCUCAUCAAGGUCUACAGAGUAUGCACUCGAGACACGCACAUCCAAACUGCUGCACACCCGCAGCGUGGCUACUCUCACCUGAGCGCAGUGUGGCUGGCAGAUGGCCGGAGCCCCAGUCCUCAGAGCGAUGGGACUGUCCAGCGGUGCGACCACAGUGGCAAACAAUCUGUGUCUCUCAAGCAGUUACCACAUGGCCCUCUGGCUGGGCAGUGCAGGAUGGUCCAGAGCAUUCCUCACAACCACCACCAGAGCAACUGAAGGAUUUUUUGACGUGAGGAGAGAAUAUGAUGCUGACAAGGGGCUCAUACUGUUCAUGACUGACCAGCUGAAAUCUGCCCUAGGAGAGCGGUUCCAGUUUGUGGAAAUUCCAGGCAACCACUACGUCCACAUGAACCAACCCGAUCACGUGGCCAGUAUCAUUGGCUCCUUCUUACAGAGCAGGAACAGGAUCCCAGGCCAGCUGUAGCCCUGGGCCUGGGGCCACUGAGACCUGUGCUCACCACACACCACCGGACGCCCAGCUCCCGGGGCCCCAGCCAGGCCAGGCACGACGGGGCCAGGCCUCACUGGUCUUGAGCAGCAGGAGCUGGCAGAGCAGACGUGUGGGGUGUGACUUCUGUCUCCAACAUUUGUGAGUUCGCAGGGGAGAUUGUGUCUGGAUUCGGGGUCUGUGUUGUGGCUGGAAACCGGCAGUGAGCUGGGAGUGCAGGAGGACUGGACAGGCCGCCCGGCUUGCAGCCAGCAGCUCUUGCGCCUUUCCUGUGUCCGCCUGGAUGAAUAAAUUGUUCUUUUCUCUCU